CUUCAUCCUCUCAAGGAUCUUAUCCAAGGCAAACCAUUCAAUCUGAAGCUCCUUCCACUUCAGUUUCAUCAGCUGGUGCAAAUCGGAAUGCCAUCAUCGUUAGCCAUAGACAGGUGAGUUACUUUUUUGGUGCACUAUAACCAAUAUGAUCAUCGCAAAUGGAGUAGGUUGAUGUGGAACUACAUAAAUUUGAAACGAUGUUGUUUUGAUCCACGAAAAUUUAAAAAUUUGAUUAGAAAUGUCAAAAAUUUGUUUCUCCCAAUUCUCUCCUCCGCCGCCGUCGCAGUUCGGCUCUUCCAUUCGAGCUACUUCCCCUUCUUCAUCUAAAUUAGAUCAACUUAUAUUCUACCACUCUUUGAAACAAAUUAAUUUGUUAAUUUGCUGUAAUUCGUUAAUGUAAUUUGUUUGUAAGAUUUAUUCGUAGCUGUCACUCAAAGCGAUUAGAAUUGGGUGGAAAUUUUCAGUAGUAAAGGCUGAAUUUUUACCGAAAUGAUUUAGUUGUAUUAUGUUGAUUUCAUAAAGGGCGAUUCUAUUCACAGCCCCCAUUUUACUCCUUAUAGCCUCUUUUUUGAAAUACUAAUAAAAAUUAAUUAGAAAUUUACUAUUUUAUCCUAUACUGUAUAGCCCCUAAAUUAAAUUAAAUUUUUAAUUACUUCAUCAUCUCAAGUUAUUUUUAACCACAAUUUUUUAGAUUUCUUUCAUAGCCCGAUUAUGAGAGCCGCACAUGUUGGAGUUUUUCUUGUAAUUGGUCAUAGUUAAUCGGUCUUCCUCUUGGUCAUGACUACUUCGAUAUGAAAUUCAGAGCCGUUGGGGCCGCCUCCGCCGCGGCCAUGUGUUGUGAGCGACGGCUAGAUCGAAGGAGAAUAGCAAAGAAGAAUGAAGGGGCUAUAAAAUAUAUAUUGCAUAUUUAGUUGUUGUCUUCUUCAAGUCUUCGAAAAUCAAGAGGCUUCCAGUUUCAAGAAUCGAUUGUAUAUGCAUUUCAAGAAUUCUAGUUUCCUUUGGCUUUGGGGACAUUCUAUUCCCGGCCUACUAACUUCCUUUGAUUUUAGGUAUUUUACUAAUGUCCCUAUUUUUGAUUGAGAUAUAUAAUAUUACAGGAGUAAUAUGGGCGUUCAUUGCUGAUUUGACAAAGCUAUGGAGUUGGUGAGUAUACUUGCAACAUGGGUAUAUGUAUGAUGAUAAAAUUGGCUCAAUUUCCAAACAUAAUUAAAGAUCAUGGUGGAAAAGAGGAGAUUUCAGAAGGCGUUGCAGCUACUCUUGCUGCAUUAGCAGCAGAGAAACCAAAACAUGGUGAACUUGUGUUGUUGCUUCUGUAGCGGCCAUAGUGGCUGCACAGUGCGCAAAGGUCGCUGAGAAGAUGGGAGCCAAGAUG